UUGCAGGGCUCGCGCUGCACUUUCCAUUCGCUCUCGCGCGCAGGAAGCCAUGUGAUGAAGUUCUGCUCUUCCCUCACACCUUCUCAUCCUGAGGAUGGACUAAGAUCGUGACAGACGACGGCGCCUCGUGCUUCUCUAUAGCAAACUGCUCGUAGAAGGAUUUCGAGGAUGUGAUUUCUAAUCGAGGAUGUUCGUUUAUCCGCAUUUCACAUCCAGAUGACCGCUUUUUUUCCUUUUUUUUUUUUUUUUUGGUGCCAUGGGGAGUUCAAGGAGAAUAGGCAGCUGGAGCUCGGAGUCGCCUGCAGGAGGAAGUGUGAGGCUGAUGCAACAUGAGGGUUGGCAGAUAAAUGAAGGAUGAUAAAGGAAUCAUGGGAAGGAUCUAAUCGGAUACUUUCGUAUCACUUUAGUGAUGGUCAGUCAAAACUCACAGAUCAUCUUAUGAAGAUGCUUCAAUCACAAGGGGUAAAAUAUAUCAUAUAAAUAAAAAGUCUACAUAUAAUGUGUAUUUGAUAUUUAUACUGUAUGUCUGUAAAAAUAUUUGCAAAUGUAUUUAAUAAAAACUGAUAUUUGA